rnacentral:tRNA from 1 species
GCCGGUGUAGCCCAAUUGGCAGAGGCAGCGGGCUUAGACCCCGUACAGCGUAGGUUCGACUCCUACCGCCGGUACCA